rnacentral:rRNA from 1 species
CAGUCGCCACGGUAAUACAGAGGGUGCGAGCGUUAAUCGGAAUUACUGGGCGUAAAGCGCACGCAGGCGGUCUGUCAAGUCAGAUGUGAAAUCCCCGGGCUUAACCUGGGAACUGCAUUUGAAACUGGCAGGCUAGAGUCUUGUAGAGGGGGGUAGAAUUCCAGGUGUAGCGGUGAAAUGCGUAGAGAUCUGGAGGAAUACCGGUGGCGAAGGCGGCCCCCUGGACAAAGACUGACGCUCAGGUGCGAAAGCGUGGGGAGCAAACAGGAUUAGAUACCCCAGUAGUCCCUGUCUCUUAUAC